GAGACGAUGAAUCGCUCUCCAUUAUUAUUUGUGGGCUCCACGUUAUGUCCAGUUUAUUUUGGUCGUAAAGGUUUUGUGUUUGGUCUGAUUUGGGUUUUCCACAUUUGGUUCCAUAAUUAAGUCAAAAUCUGCGUUUUAUGCUUGAGUCAAUUAGGGCUUCAUUAUUAUCUUUCUUCCCCAUUCAACCUCGCCGUCUACACUUAUCUUAAUCUGCAGACCUAAUGAUUGCAAACGUAAAGGUUGACAUCGCUGUCUCCGUACCCAACAUCUAACCCUCUCUUUACCACCUCUUCUGGUUCCCGAUGUCGUCCCGGAAUCCACUGCUCUGUUUCGGCCGGUGAGACAAACAAAACGAUCCAUGGAGGAUGUCCCUGACAUAUCAUGGGGCUGCGAUAUAUAUUCAGUCGAGAAUGCCACUUCUCUUCAGAGAUGGCUAACCAAUUCAGGCCUCCCGCCGCAGAAAAUGGCUAUCGACAGAGUCGACAUCAGAGAGAGAGAGGUGGGAGUCUCGGAAUGAAAUAUCAACGAACAAACACUUGCUUAAGUUAAAUUUAGAGGAAUGUGCUCAGCUACAAGACCGAAUGAUGGCUCUUGCCAAGGAGCUGGCAUCGCUUAAAUUGGUUUCCGACAUAAGAUUGGAGGAAGAUGAUGUGCUGAAGCUUGCCUUUUUUGAGAAUAACGCAAAAGACAAAAGAUACAAUAGACACACUUGUCAAGUCCUUGGUUAUCCGAAACAGGUACUAUUGAUGAAGUCCCCACGACUACUAUUGUGACCAACCUCCAGAAAUUCAUGCUUCUGAAGUUCGACCAUCUUCAAGCUCUUGCAAACACUUUCUUUGAACUCCCCGGUAUUUUUUUAAAUUUCCUUUUGCAUAUUAGAAUUCAACCACCAUCUACUUAUAUUACCUAUGCCAAAUCCGUUCUGUUCAAGGCUCCGACAUAAACAACUAUGCUGCAACAACUCGAUUAUGCAUGAAAGUUGGUGUCCCAAUCAUGCUGCCGCGCAACCUAAACCAAGAAGAAGGCUUGAGAAAGAGUUAUCGAAGCAGAAGUGUGUGUGUGUUGAUACCAAGAAUCAUACUAUCACCGACAUAAACCAAACAUUUUUUCACUCUAAGAAGCCGCCAGUUUCCAGUACAUAUAUCCUGGGGAUUUUAACAUUACCAGGGUCGCGUGAAUUGGUUACAUUGCCAACAUUGUUUACAGAAAGGCCUUCAAUUGCCUCCCACAAUCACCGGUUUAGAAGAAGACUGAGAGUUUCGCCAACAUGCUUUCCUCUGUUUCUUUCUCUGUUCUGUCUGUAUCUGUCCAAAGAAUCAUCAAAUGGGAUCCACUGAACUGCAAGACACAGAUUUCUUUAGCUCUUUUUCUGAGCACUUACACUCAACGUUCUUCACUCCAAUCACAAGCUCGCUCCGAUCUGACUCGGACCCGGAUUCACCAAAGCCAUAAAACGAGGAUGAAGACGAGUACGUCGUAGAGUUGACUCGGCAGAUGACUAACUAUAUGAGCAUCAGAAGUCUUAUGGUGGAGACAACAUAUUAUGGUUCCUUUUCAAUCAAAAGAAGCUUUAAUCGAUGAGCAGAUCCGAUCUGUUCAGGCAAACAUGAGUUCAUGUUUUUUCAGUUGAUAAUUAUUUAGAAUCUUUUUUUUUAUUUGUCGGUUAUAAUACGAUGGUUUAUAAAAUAAAAAGUUUGAUGUUCAUUUUGUGUCUAUAGUUCCAAAACUAGAAGGAGAAAGACAAGCAGCGAAAUGAUGAUGCAUUAAAACAUAAAGCAAGGAGCUACCACAACCAACAGAGAGACCAAAGUCCACUGGGAAGGCGGUGUUCGUUGACGGGUCAUUCGAGAACCAGGUCAGGUGGAACUGAGUGUUCUUGCCAGGCAGGCAUGGUACUGCUGUGGAGUCACGCAAGAAAGUAGUUUCAUAUUAAUUUAGCACUGUUACUUCUUGUUUUUUACGUUACGCAAGAACUCCAUUAUAAGUUUUUGUUUUGUUUUCUAUUAGCGAGAUGUGGUUUUAAAGAAGGUUACCUAUUAUAUAUAAUGGACAACAGAUAAAAGAAAGAGAUGAAAUGACGUCGUCUAUAUACUUUGAGAUUCGUACUU